rnacentral:rRNA from 1 species
CUCGUAGGCGGUUCGUCGCGUCCGGUGUGAAAGUCCAUCGCCUAACGGUGGAUCUGCGCCGGGUACGGGCGGGCUGGAGUGCGGUAGGGGAGACUGGAAUUCCCGGUGUAACGGUGGAACGUGUAGAUAUCGGGAAGAACGCCAAUGGCGAAGGCAGGUCUCUGGGCCGUUACUGACGCUGAGGAGCGAAAGCGUGGGGAGCGAACA